UGGGCUUAAAGGGAAGAAGGAGCUGUGAAGGGUGUUAAGCCAGGAUGUCAGGAGCCAUUGGCCUGAGGCUGCAGAGAGAUGAAUUAAGACCUCAUGCUUGCCUAUCAACUUCGUGCUGGGAAGCGAGGCUCUGCUAACAGACAAGCAUCCCCGCCCUUGCCCUGUGCUUGCUGAUGACCCAAAGGGAGGUGGGAGGUUGCUGUAUGAAUGAGCCCACGUGAAAUCUGAGCUGAAGAGGAGGCUCCCUCCUGAGAGGUUAGAAGAAUGUGGAAACAUCCAUCUUACUAGUUACUUGAAAAUGUAUAACUUUUUCCUGCUAUAAAUCUCAUUUUAAUUUUGUGCCUGCAUGAAUUCAUAAAUAUGAUAUGUGUACUAACAGCCUUACACGUUCAGACUCUGAAAAUGAAGAAA